rnacentral:rRNA from 1 species
CCUACGGGGUGCAGCAGUGAGGAAUAUUGGUCAAUGGGAGAGAUCCUGAACCAGCCAAGCCGCGUGAGGGAAGACGGCCCUAUGGGUUGUAAACCUCUUUUGUCGGAGAACAAAACCCGGGACGUGUCCCGGACUGCGUGUAUCCGAAGAAAAAGCAUCGGCUAACUCCGUGCCAGCAGCCGCGGUAAUACGGAGGAUGCGAGCGUUAUCCGGAUUUAUUGGGUUUAAAGGGUGCGUAGGCGGUCCGUUAAGUCAGCGGUAAAAUUGCGGGGCUCAACCCCGUCGAGCCGGUGAAACUGGCAGACUUGAGUUGGCGAGAAGUACGCGGAAUGCGCGGUGUAGCGGUGAAAUGCAUAGAUAUCGCGCAGAACUCCGAUUGCGAAGGCAGCGUACCGGCGCCAGACUGACGCUGAGGCACGAAAGCGUGGGGAGCGAACAGGAUUAGAUACCCGAGUAGUC